rnacentral:rRNA from 1 species
AUGCAAGUCGAGGGGCAGCACAAGGAGCAAUCUGAGGUGGCGACCGGCGCACGGGUGAGUAACACGUAUGCAACCUGCCUGUAAGCGGGGAAUAACCCGUUGAAAGACGGACUAAUACCGCAUAAUGCUAAAUUACUGCAUGGUAAUUUAUUUAAACAUUUAUGGCUUACAGAUGGGCAUGCGCAUGAUUAGCUAGUUGGAGAGGUAACGGCUCCCCAAGGCAACGAUCAUUAGGGGUUCUGAGAGGAAGGUCCCCCACACUGGUACUGAGACACGGACCAGACUCCUACGGGAGGCAGCAGUGAGGAAUAUUGGUCAAUGGACGAGAGUCUGAACCAGCCAAGUCGCGUGCAGGAAGAAUGUCCUAUGGAUUGUAAACUGCUUUUGCAGGGGAAUAAAGUGCAUCACGUGUGAUGUUUUGUAUGUACUCUGCGAAUAAGGAUCGGCUAACUCCGUGCCAGCCGCUGC